GUAGAUUAUACCUAACGGAGCUGAUU
rnacentral:miRNA from 1 species